rnacentral:misc_RNA from 1 species
GAUGAAGAACGCAGCGAAAUGCGAUAAGUAAUGUGAAUUGCAGAAUUCAGUGAAUCAUCGAGUCUUUGAACGCACAUUGCGCCCCCUGGUAUUCCGGGGGGCAUGCCUGUCCGAGCGUCAUUGCUGCCCUCAAGCACGGCUUGUGUGUUGGGCCUCCGUCCUCCUCCCGGGGGACGGGCCCGAAAGGCAGCGGCGGCACCGCGUCCGGUCCUCGAGCGUAUGGGGCUUCGUCACCCGCUCUUGUAGGCCCGGCCGGCGCUUGCCGACACAUCAAUCUUUUUUCCAGGUUGACCUCGGAUCAGGUAGGGAUACCCGCUGAACUUAAGCAUAUAAUAAGCGGAGGA